UACGUAGGGUGCGAGCGUUGUCCGGAAUUACUGGGCGUAAAGCGCGUGUAGGCGGCUAAGUAAGUCGGGCGUGAAAUCCCACGGCUCAACCGUGGAAGUGCACUCGAAACUGCAUAGCUAGAGUCCUGGAGAGGAAGGUGGAAUGCUUGGUGUAGAGGUGAAAUUCGUAGAUAUCAAGCGGAACACCGGUGGCGAAGGCGGCCUUCUGGACAGUGACUGACGCUGAGACGCGAAAGCGUGGGGGAGCAAACAGG
rnacentral:rRNA from 1 species